AUGGGGCAGCAGGCAGACAUGGGAGAGCCAAUAGUGUAUGAGGGGAACAUGGGGUAGCACAGUGUGUGCAAGGGAUACAUGGGGCAGCAGGCAGUAUAAGGAGGACAUGAGGCAACAGGGAGACAUGGGACAGCAGUUGGUCAUGGGGCAGCAGAGUGUGUGUGAUUGGGGACAUGGGACAGCAGGGGCUGUAAGGGGGAUAUGGGGGGCAAAGAGACAUGGGACAGCAGAGUGUAUGUGAGGGGAACUUGAAGCAGCACGG